CCUACGGGAGGCAGCAGUGGGGAAUAUUGCACAAUGUGGGAAACCCUGAUGCAGCGACGCCGCGUGAGUGAAGAAGUAAUUCGUUACGUAAAGCUCUAUCAGCAGGGAAGAAACACUGACCUUACGGUCAGCAGACGGUACCUGAGUAAGAAGCACCGGCUAACUACGUGCCAGCAGCCGCGGUAAUACGUAGGGGGUAAGGGUUAUUCGGAUUUACUGGGUGUAAAGGGAGCGUAGAAGGUGUGCCAAGUCUGGAGUGAAAUACCGCAGCUUAACUGGGGAACUGCUUUGGAAACUGGCGAACUAGAGUGCGUGAGGGGUAAGAGGAAUUCCGAGUGUAGCGGUGAAAGGCGUAGAUAUUAGGAGGAACACCGGUGGCGAAGGCGGCUUACUGGACCGUAACUGACGUUGAGGCUCGAAAGCGUGGGGAGCAAACAGGAUUAAUACCCUAGUAGUC
rnacentral:rRNA from 1 species